UGUCAGCACCCAGUUUCCAUGUCACCGACUUUCCAUUGGCUGGAAAAGAAGCAGCUCUUUGGCAAAUGCUGUUUGCUGGAUGGCAGGGUCUGUGUCCCACCUGCUGUGCCCUACUGGCUGCUGUUGAUGACAGAACCUGUCCAAAAGCAACUAUACAUGGGGAACACUCUGCUGGGAGUCAGCUCACACUUCACAUUUUUUUUCAUGCUAUUGAAGCCAGGGAGCAAUUGACUAGGCCAGAUAUGUGUCAGAGGGUGAAGCAGCCAGGAGGCAAAGACUUACCUUUUCUUGGCAGUGGCUUCUUUGCUGGAGCCUUGUCCGCAGCAGCUUCUCUUUCCUCCCACCGUCUGAUCUGUUCCUGCCUCAUCUUGAAGAAGAGGAUCUGUUUCUGCUCCUCGCUGAGUUCUGCCAGCAGUGAAGUGAAACAAAAUUGCCAAGCCCACCUGAAAUCAGUGCAGCCAAAGGUAAUGGCUUCCCAAACCUUGCUCUCAGUGCACAAGUCUUCAUGGGUUAACUGUUACACAUUGCUCAUAAAAUGCACUUUUGUCAGGAAGUAUUUAUGUUAGCAGCUGUACCAGCAAGGUUACUACCAAAAUAUCCUUCUGUGCUUUGGGGUUGGGUUGUUGGUUUAUUUGUUUUGUUCUUGUUUGGGUUUUUUUUUUAAUCCUCAUCCUGUUCUAAAUAGGGAAAUGAUUCAUUCCUCUCUUUCAGUUUAAUUUUACUUCAGCCUACUGUUUUCUGUUUCAGAUGAAAGGAAAACUAGUUUGGUCAUAAGGAAAACAUGACUGCAUAAGCUUGGCACCCAGAAGACAGAACUAGACCUGUUUGUAUCUUAGAAUCGUAGAAUUGUAGAAUGGUUUGGGUUGGAAAGGACCUUAAAGAUCAUCUAGUCCCAACCUUCCUGCCAUAAUCAGGGACAUUUUCCACUAGACCAGGUUGCUCCAAGUCCCAUCCAACCUGGCUUUGAACAAUUUCAGGAAUGGGGCAUCCACAUCUUCUCUGGGCAACACAUUCCAGUGUCUCUCCGUCCCCACAGGGAAGAAUUUCUUCCCAAUAUCUAAUCUAAACCUGCCUUCUGUCAGUUUGAAGCCAUUCCCCUUUGUCCUGUCACAACAUUCUCUUGUCCAAAGUCUGUCUCCAGCUCUCCUGUAGCCCUUUUAGAUGCUGGAUUCUGAGUAACGCUGGCAUAUAAUGCUUGAAAGAACAAACUUGCCCUAUAGGCCCUUGAUCUUCCUGGAGGGAGCAGUGGUUAUCUUAUAGCAGGUACAAAUGGAUGGAAACGGCAACAAGGAAAAAUAAUUUGAUACAGCAGCAGCCACUGAACACAGUUCGAGGCCCCAGGGCUCUAUGUUCAAGAAAAAAGUUGUCUUCCUUGCUAGAAUAGUGUGCAAACAUUUCUUGAUCAUCUUCCUAUAUUAAAGUUACUGAGGGAAUUACCAGUGUGGUGAAAAGGGUGAGGGCUUCUAUAGGUUAACACAUAGGAUCAGAGACUCAACCAAACUCAGCCACUGUAAGAAAGGAGAUUUUUUUCUAGGCAUGGCACAUAAUUUAAUUUAUAGUUCUGUGCAGAAAGGGGUGAUCUGUGGUAAAUUCCCAAAUCCAGCACCCCAAGACACAAAAAAGCAGGCCUACUUAUACAGUUACAAUCUUAGGCUAUUAGCAUAUCUCACUGAAGUCACUACUUGGCUAAGUUGUUAUUGGCUCAUUCUUUCUCUGCUUUGAAUUAAAGCCAUUGUGUCCCA